rnacentral:rRNA from 1 species
UACGAAGGUGGCAAGCGUUGUUCGGAUUUACUGGGCGUACAGGGAGCGUAGGCGGUUGGGUAAGCCCUCCGUGAAAUCUCCGGGCCUAACCCGGAAAGUGCGGAGGGGACUGCUCGGCUAGAGGAUGGGAGAGGAGCGCGGAAUUCCCGGUGUAGCGGUGAAAUGCGUAGAUAUCGGGAGGAAGGCCGGUGGCGAAGGCGGCGCUCUGGAACAUUGCUGACGCUGAGGCUCGAAAGAGUGGGGAGCAAACAGG